AGGCAGAUGAAGCAUUUUGAGUGCUGUUCUGGUGAGGAAUGCUUUUUUAGCUUCUGUCAUGUGCAUAAGCCACUUCCCUUGGAGCAUCCCUCUCUGCCGUUGUUCUCAUCCUCUACUAUCCCCACUCCUAGGCAGAUGCCAAUGCUGUCUGGACAUGCCUUGUGGAAAUGAGCUUCUCUAUGGGACAGAGGACUGCACGCUGCCUUUGGAGAAAAGGAGGGCGGGGAUUACUGCUCCCAGAAGAACUGAAAUAACUAUUUACCCACAGCAAGAAAAUGUUAUUUUUGGGGCAAAAGGGAGCUGUAAUGUUUUCCUGUUACAGUAGUUGGCAGCAUUUCUCUAUAGCCCAAACAGUUCUUUCUUACAGGAAUCUUUACUCUUUGCUGUAAGUUUACUAGAGGGAGAGACAUAUAUGAACAAUUCUGUAAUUCAAACACAAUAUACUGACAGUAAGACAGGUUUAAACCCUGGGAGACUAUUGGGACAGAGUGAAGGAAUAGCAGAAUGGGACCCUGAACAAGGAGCCCGAGUUGAGAGGAUACUGGUGGCUUUGUGCAGACAAAUGUUGCAUGUACAGUGAUUUUCAAAGCACGGACUAUUUGGAAUGAAGUAAGGACAUCUCUUGCAGGUUUUUUUCCCCUGGGUUCAUCCAGAUGUUUCAGUUUACUAGACUGGAGUGGUGGCAUUGGGAAAUGUGAACCAAAUGAAUUAGCUAAGCACUUUGAGGCUGAGGUAACUGAAUGAGCUGGUCUAAAACAAGAGGAGCAUUUCAUGGAAAUACAGAAGAAAGCUGGGUAGCAACUUGCCUCUCCCACAGAACAGAUUAUAAGCUAUCCAAUGACCCUGGUUUUCCUCUCCCAUUAACAUCUUAAACCUCUUUUGCUUCAGGGGAAGGUUAAUAGAGAGGCUGCAGUGGCUUAACCCUGGCAGAACUUGUCUUACUCUGUAGCUUCAUCUUACAGGGGCCACAGAAACCUGACAGACAAGGGAAGAAUGAGUUCUAUCUUCAGGGAAUGCUGAAGGGCCUCUAGUUCAGCUAGUUGCCAGUGUUUGCCCUUGUUUUGCCUAGGCAGCGUGAGCACUAGGUCCUUUUCUGCACAGUUCCCACACAGCUGCAGCACUGGCACUUCUCCACUCUUCCCCAGGCCAGGCACCUACCAAAUACUCUCUCCCAUCAGCAGCAAGCCAUAAACAGCAAAGAAAGACACUUGAUUUUGGACAUAAUUUUGUUCUUUGGGGAAAGUGUUGACCAUGAUGGGGCUGAUUCAGCUAGGGUAUAAGCAGCUGUUGUAGCUAUAGUCAUGGUGCAGCAGGUGUUAAAUCUAGUGCAUGGGUUGCACUGAACACAUUUACAGCUUGGAUGCAUAGCUGGAUGGUAAAACCGUAAACACCUCAGGCCUAAAUACCACAGGAAAACCCCACACUUGUAUGUAUAUCAGAUGUGUUUUCCUAGUGGCACCAUUCUUUAACAGAUGGUUUUUAAACCCCUUUUCUCUGUGUUCAAAGGAGCAGAGGAAUGUUUGCAUCCAUCCCAUCCUGAGGCAGUGGCCUCCCACGGGCAUUUGGGGUGGUUUGUGGGCACUGCAGAAGCUGUGGUGCACAGCCCUCUGCCUCCUGGGGGUUCAGCCCACACCGAUGGCAGAAAGGCCAGACUUGCACUUUCCAGUUCGGCACCCCUGGCCAUUCCCUUGUGCCGGCUCCAGUGUCCACCCAAGCAGUUGGUCAAUUCAGCAAACUGAGCCAAUUGAAAAUUAACCCUAGCAGAAGAGGAAAAAAGCCAGGAGGAGAGCAUUGUGCCCCUGGCACCACAGACCGUACAGCCAAAGGAGCACAAGAGUCAGCAGAGCGGGGGAGCUGCCUUUUGGCUGGAGCACAGCUGUAGGUCAGCUUAGGCCAGUUGUGAAACCACACAGCCCCUGUGCUGCCGAGAGAGUGGGCGUGAUCACCAAGAAACCUCUCUGUGGAGAGCUCUUCGCUGUCAGUGUUUGUGUUAGGGAGCCUGGAACAUCCCUAAUGGAUCCAGCACUUCCGUGAUUCAUGUCCGAGGCCUUGAAGAUUUAAUGGCUAUUUUCCCAAGCAAGAAGACUGCAGAUUCUCACUGCACGUGCACUGUGAGUGCCCUUCGAGGGUGAUUUUGUCAUCCCACUAGAGGAAGUGCCUCAGGGCAGAGCUGGGUCUUGUUCUUUUGCCAUGUGGGAGGCAUAAAUAGUUAAUAGAAGAACAAAAGAGGACAGCUAUGCCAGGAUAUAGACCAGGGAAAGUGAGAGCACAAAUUAACCUUAUGGCUUGCCUUUUGAAGAACCACACAAAGUUUUGGAUAUUUUUACAGUAGUGUAGCAGCAGUGAUGGUGAGAGGCUAUAAGCAUGACAGAAUUUAUAGGGAUUAGGUCUACUAGCUGACCAUGUUGUAGUAAGCAGACACAUAAGCUCUUCUUCAGGCCUGUUUUAGAUUUGAAGAACUUAUGUCUGAAAGCAUGAUUUGCCUAGGAAAUAGGUUGGUCUAAUAAACAUCUUUUCCACCGGUCUUGCCCCACUGCUAAUUUAAGGGCAUUCUUCUGGCAAAAGUUUCAGCUGGAAAUUCAGUUCUCACUCUUGAAACAUUAAGUCACAGAUCCACAUUGUUAAAAGCACAUCAGAGGCAGGAGUGCCGUGCUCCCAGUUACACACUGAAUUAAUUCUUCUCCCUUCUCUCCCCCCUGCCAGGCACCACCACACGCCAUCUAGUGAAGUAACAAAGAACGCUGCCAGACAUACCUGCACAUGUAGGCUACCUUUAUCGUAUUAAACCAUGAAACAAUGCCUACUGGAAAGAGCAGGCUCUUUUUUUUUCAAACUCAAAACUAUUUGUUUUAAGGUAGCUACCCUAAGGAAAGGGCCUUUCCCAGCUUUUGCUGUUACAUAAACUGGGGCACUUAUCAUCACUACUGUGAUGGGAUUGAUAUGAGCAGAAGACAAAAUUUACACAAAAAUUACUUAAUACAUACUCAGUAAGCUUGAAGAGGCCUGUAAGGUAUCUGCUGCCUAAAAUACUUCCUGGCUUAAAGGUAGAUGCUGUUUCAAAACUAACUUUAUCACCGUGUAACUGCAGCCCAGAGUGAACUGCGCUCCUUGGCCCUCGAAAGCCACAUUCCUGCCGUCGGCGUGGCUGCAGCCUGCGCUGCGAGCUGAGGAAUCCCUGUGUCCUUCCUGCUUCGGGCUGUCGUGCUGCAGCAGCCGCCAGAGCUGCAGGAAGUAAUGCCGAGCACACACCCUCCCUUUGUGCUUUAGGAACCUUCCAAAGGCAGCAAACACUUGUCCUUUGUCAGCGAAUAAAGCACAGAGCGUAAGACACAGAAGAUUUAUAGGUGUGCCGUCCCGGCACUGCGUGCUCGGAUUUAACCCUCACUCAGAUCCCAUUUACUUUAAUAGGGAUGUUGCUGCUAAAACCCGGCACGAUGUUUAAAAUAUUUACCCCAUAGAGAGCAGAUAAUCUGGGAAGUAACAAGGUGUCAUUUCCUACCAAAUGUGCUCUCUGACUAUAACCACAUGUUAAUGGUACUAUUUGGGGGCAUGCUAGAGCAAAGAGCCAAUUCACCACUCAGCAGCACAGUUAAGCUGUGCCGCCAUGUGAACUAGGAGGUCUCUGUUUGCUGUCAUGCUGAUAUUUGUCAGAUAGGAAAAAGAAAAAAAAACUGUAAUAUCAAAGCUGGAACAUCAGGCUUCCUUGUGUGUGGUUUGCUUUUCUUAUUUUUCUUUUAAUACUCAGGACAAAAGAAUCUUUUUCUUGCAGUCCAACUCUGAAGUUUGUUAGAUUUCUAUGAGUGCUUCAGUGGUGCUCCUCACACAUGACCACCGCAGAUGACAUGGUGGUUCUAGAGAUCAUGUUAAGCAUGGCAGAAGGAUGCUUCAUGUCAGGAAUUCUGCCUUCUUUUUCAAUGUCAAAAUGCUACCUAGCCUUUCAUUUUGCCAGGAUUUUGCCCAUUUCUGGUGUUGACAUCAGCAGAUUUUACUGUCAUUUGCAAUAUGAAGCAAAGACAGCAGCUGAGUUCUCCCAUCACUUCACCUCCCCCUUGCUCAGUUCUGAAUGAAGGCACAUCAGCACUGCACAGCUUAAAACCUCUGAAGAAGCCACAAAACCCAGCAGCCCCUAUGAAACUGUAGCCUUUCUCCUGCCCAGACUAAAGUGGUGCUUGAUUGACUCUCCUUGUCCGGUGGACAAGGAGACUUGUUAUGAGAUGUAUUAAUGAGUGUGUUGGGAGGGAUUAACCACAGUCCCUCACCUUGAAAUUGCUUCAGCUUGAUUUCUUAUGGAAAUGAGGGCAGCUGUAUACAUAUAUUUCAGUCUCUGCUUUUCUGCAUAUCUGCCCUUCCCCCAGCAAUUUCUGAAUUCUCUGACCACUGUCAGCAAUCUGUAACAGAGUAGUAGCAGUCUUAAAGAUAAUUAAGUUGCUAAAUGUUCAUUAAAGCUGGCCAUGAACUACAGGAGAAAGAACGUAUUGUCAUUUAAAAUAACAAUGUUGCUCAAAACUAACUUGUCCAAAAGAAUCCCUGCUGGGGAGGAUAUUAUGCGAACCCUUUUUUCCCUCCCUACACAUGUAUUUAGUAGAGCAGGAUCCAUCCCUAAAAACUACAGUUUCUUUCUAGAUUAUUUGUAAAGUAGAAUCCCAGAUAUUGUAUUGCAUAGAUAAUUAACCAUCAAACACUAAUGAAUUCCUUCAAAUGUGGUGCAAGGCGCCACAGAGAGUGUGCUGUAACAUCCUGCCAGAUGAAGCAGUCUAUUCAAAACUGUAGUGGAAUCACUAGUAGGGUUGUCCAAAACACUAGAAAUAAUCUAGUGGGAUUAAAAAAGUUCACUUUCAUGUGAAGUACAUGGUAGCAUCCAAACAGUUUUUAUCAGGUCCCCGCACAGAGCUUGCUGGGUUUGUUGAGCUUGUGCACAUGUUGCUGUUCACCCAUUUUGUACUCUAACCCCAUCCAUUUUGUGCAUGCUGGCAUGGCAGCAGCAGCAGCAGCAUCCCUGUCUCAGGCGGUUUGCAGGAAGGAAUCACCUCACUCUGCAACCCUGCCCCACAAAUACAAGAGAGCAGAGUCUCGAAGCACAGAUUGAGCAAGGAGCUGACAUCGCUUCAUCAGGAGCCCAAACCCCCUUGUGCUGUGACACAGAGGAGGGGUGGGAGUGACAGACGUUCCCUGCUCAUCCCUGAGCCCAGAGCUACCACUUGAAACAGAUGUCUGUGUGAAAAAGGCCUCACACCUGCCAAACCACCAGCCUCAAGCUUCCUUCCUUGUUUCUUCAGGCCUCAGAAUAAUAACAGCAUUUGUACAAUACAUACUGCAGCCUGUGGUUUUCUCUUGUCCCUGUACACAUGCUAUUGAACCUCCCCGGAGCAAAAAUCAGACGGCAAAGCCUUACAAGAUGGCAGAAAAGAGGUGAGCGGUGAAGCAAUGUGUACUCUGCUCAGCUGGGUUUACUUUUCAACACCAAUAAUAAAGGAGGAAAAGCGUGGGUCAGUGUCACAAACCCUGCUGGAGAGGCAUUUGAAUCUGAUAAAUGCUACAAGCACCUCAUUUGCACGUAGACUGCAGAGCACUAAACUAGGAAAAUAACCCGUUAACAGAAAAGUCAUCUUGAAUCGGAAACUUUCAAGAUUUCAUUUUUAACUGUGGUGAGAAUUUAGCAUUUUAUUGCUGCUUUGCUUUUGGUUCCUGUUUUUGCUAGCAUUGAGAAAUGAGGUGCCUUAGGAAGCUGCAUGGUAUGUAACAGGCAGGAGCAGCCUGUAUACAAAGGAAGGAAGAUGAUGUAGCAGAACAUUGUUGAGGAAAGAUCCUGUUUGUACAGAGAGCUGCAGAAUAGUAAACCAGAACAGAGCAGGGAUGUAGAAAUGAAAGGAAAUCAACCCAAAAUUAUUCUGAAUCCUGUUUGUGUGCAGGAGCCCACUAGAGCUACCAAUAAAAUUUAAAAAUCAGGCCUGCCUUUUCUCUGAUUUCUUAUUCUGUAGUGGAAUGGAAAAGAAACAAUAAAAGAGGGCAGACAUGCUAGCUUGAAUUCCCCUGCCAGUCUUUCCUCCUAGUGCAGUCCUGAAACAGUGACUGCAGCAGCAGUCAGAUUUGUAUCAAAACUGCUAGAGCUGACCAAAAGUUUCUCAACAGUCAUUCCUAGCUGUGCUUUACCCCAGGGACACUUAUUUCAGGAAAAACUUCUGAAAAGGUCCUGACUACCUUUCUGAUUUUUUGAGAUAUAUUUUUUAAAAAUCUCUUAGGGUUUUUUUUUUUUUUUUUUUAACAAUUAACUGAUUGUAUGAACUUCAGUUCCUGAUAAAUAUUUGCCUCUGUAGAUGCUGUAUGUGUAUCAGAGGGAAGUGACUUCCCUGCAAUAUAUGCCCAUUUCAGGUCACAUACUCUUUUGUUAGCCCUUUUAAAGCACAGCCACGUAAGGUCAUUGCAUUCUCUGAAUAAGUCUCGAAUACAGUUGUCAAUAAACUCAUCUCCUCAAAGUCAUAUCAAAUAUCUUGAUAACAUCUUGUUAUCCCUGCAACAGGAGGAUUAGCCUGUGAGUAAUCUGGGUGGUGCUGCAGCAUUUGGGGUUUUUUUAAUUGCUUUAAGUGCUUUAUGGUCAAAUUUAGACCAAUACAUGCAAAUCCUGCAUCCAAACCUGAGCAUUUGUAGUUACUUUUUUGCUUGUGUGUAACCUUCUUGCUUUGGUGUGAGCAACUUUGAUCUUUGAUACCCUGACCAGCUUCCUGCAGUAGGUGGAAGAAACAUUCUUAACUGUGUCUGCAAGCUGCGUCAAGAGUUUAUCAAAGCUGCUGACUCCUAAAAUUCAGGCGAGCAGUGCUACAGCACAUACUAUGAAUGACCUUUUUAUCCUGGUCUGUUGGCUGUAAACAAGCUUUAUACAAACAUAGGCAAGGAAAGCACCAUACUGAGGUGUUUUUUGAUUUCUUUGUGUUGUUAAUUUGGGUGGACCCUGCUGAAGUCCCCUAUAAAAUAAAGGCAGUGCACGAAAAUGCCUCUCCCAUGAAAUUUGGAAUAAUCUUAAUUGUAACACGCCAGAGAUAUUCUAACAUAUAUCAGAGGUGUCCUGGACCUGAGCAAAGAAUAACGUGAUUCUUAUCCCAAGGCACACAAAAUGCUGUCAGCCAGUACUGAGUUGCGAUAGAAUCACUGAUUCAAUGAGCUUCAGUUCCUGAUAAAAUGUUUGGGAGAGAAGUAACUGGUCAAGGAGUUUUUCUAGGCAUUGAGAACCUAGAAAGCCUGCUUCCUCAGGAAAUUUCCAUGGGGAAUUUGCAUGGUUUGCGCUUUUCUAUGGGUGAUGAAUUAUGUCACUGGAUAAUUUUGGUCAUUCUAAUGGCAGGUGCAACAUGGGUGGGCAAACAGAAAGCUAAAAAAGAGGGCUAAAAUUCCUCCCUUGUAUUAGAUAUGUCAUCAUAUUGGAGAUGACAUUGGAAGAGCAUGCUCCUCACAAUGUGGCUGGCACCACUCACUCUCUGUGCUGAUGGGGUGAGGCAAAGCGACACUGGAGACAGCCAAAGCUCUUGUGCACAGCUGUAGCAAGGGGGGACAGUGCCAUGGAUUCCAUCAGCUCUCCCUGCCAGGCAUGGUGAGGUGCUGUAUGGCUAGGAGAUCCCCAGCCAUAGUGGAGUGCCAUGUGGCCAGGGGAUCUUGGGACUGGAGGGCUUGUGGGCAGGUAUGGGCUCCAGGCAGCAAGUCCUGCCUUCCCAUGUGGCAUACAUAUGACAUCAGGGAUGUGUCUGGUGUAUAUAUAUCCAAGUGAUCCCUCCUAGAAGUCCCAUCCCAUGCUGGGGACAUGUGGGAUGUAUGCCUUCCCAGAAUGCACACUGUCCCUUUCACAGCUAGCAGUGAAUGACCCAACUCUCUAUGAGGCAGCAGCAGUGCUUCGAGUUUUAAUUUUUUUUUUUUUUUAAUGUCCCAGCAUACUUCCUAGUCCCUAAGUUCUGCUGCCUGAGUAUGCCAGAUGGCACCCCAGGUGGGAUGGGAGCUGCAGCCACGUAGUUCAGGUAGCCAUCAGCACCAAGGAAUGUAACUGCAGGAUGUGGGUAUGAGAAGUGCCAGCCCAGGUCUGCUUCUGCUGCUUCAGUGUUGACUAGGCAUACUAAAAACUUCAUUGUGGUAAGGAAUGUCCUCUCUUCUCACCAUUUUGGUACAUUUCUGCAGCCUUUCUGGGUUUGUAUGAUGCAUGUCUGAAAAGGAAACAGGAAGGAGCUGCAAAUGGAAAUUUCAAGCCGUCAGCAACAGAACAAACCCCAACCAACUUCCCAUAGCCAGGGCAUAAAACCUAGGCUGUGCACUUCAGCUUCAAGUGACAGAAGAUGCUGAAUUUUACAGAGUCUUCCAAAAUCAGCAAGUGCUGGAGAUGAAAUAAGUGUCUUUGUCUUGGUUCUAGCUGCCCCAGGAGAGGUCCCAGCUUCCAGCAUCCCUUGGCACAGCUCUGCCUGUUGCCUGUGAGCCCUCCCUGAGAUGCUGCUCCUUAGGCUGGCCACCCUAUUUUGUGUGGAGGUGUCUGUGGGAGAAGAGCUUGCCAGGAAAGAGCCACUCCUACCAGCUAUAUAAUUUCACAAAUCCACAAAACAAACAUGUUGCCAUUUUGCAAAACCCUCAUACCUAUGGAAUUCUCAUAUCCUGCAAGGUGUGGAUUUCAGCUAUUUUUAACCUGGAUGUGUUCUGUGAUAUGUUUCCCACACAGCACAGAAACUGGCAUAGCUGAGGGUCCCUGAAAGGAAAUGCUCACAAUCAGGAUCAUGCUGCAUUGAACUCUCCGCAAGGAACAAGACAUACAUGCUCCAAAGCGGUUGACUGCAAGAAAAAAUGGAUAUAGAUAGGAUCAUGUAGGGCCAGGAGCAGGUAUGGGUACAAGGCUCUGCUAGCAGAACUGAGUAAUGGGGACAGUGUCUCAUCUUGCACACGGGGCUGUCACCAAGGUUAAGUCAACCUGUGUCAAAACUGUGUCCAUGAAGAAAAAGAGACAGGUCAUUGCCAUGGAAGACUCCCUUCUGAAGGGAGAAGACCCAAUAUGCUGUCUGGAACAACUUCUGCGGGAGAUCUGCUGCCUCUCUGGGACAUGGGUUAAAGACGUGACAAGAAAGCUUCUUACUCUCAGAUUGUUCUCCACUAUUAAUUUUCAGGUAGGCAGCAAUGAAGUUGCACCAGGAAGUCCAAGGAAGAUCAGGAGACACUUCAGAGCUUUGGGACAAUUGGUUAAGGGAUCUGGAUCACAGGACGUGUUCCCCUUAUCCUACCAAUUGCAGGGGAUGAUAAGGAAAGAAAUAGGAAGAGACAACAGAUCAAUACCUGGCUCUGAGUCUGGUGUUACCCUCAAAAUUUGGGGGAUUUUGAUCAUGGGUCAGUUUACAUGACAGCAGGGAGACUAGUAACAGAUGGGGCACAUGUGUCUCAGAGGGGGGAAAGGAUCUUUGCACUGAAUACUUGGAAAAAUUUGUUCACCAAAGGGAUUGUUAAGCACUGGAACAGGCUGCCUAGGGAAGUGGUGGAGUUACUGUCCCUGGAGGUAUUUAAAAGACAUGUAGCUGUGGCACUGAGGGACAUGGUUUAGUGGUGCACUUAGAACUGCUGGGUUAAUAGUUGGACUCACUGCUGUUAUAACUCUUUUCCAACAUAAAUGAUUUGAUGAUUCUGUGACUGCAUUCCAGCCUAUCCAUGUGCCUUUAAAAUCAAUACUCAAGAUCCUCUCUGUUGCUAGAUCAGAACAGAGUUAUCUUUUAAGCAGUAGCAAAUGUUCAGAUACCAAAAAGACCACAUAAAACUGUGGGUACAUAUAAAAUGUUGUCAGUUCCCGGCACUUACCGGGUACUCCUCCAGCUCCAGACCACGCAUACAGCCCCAUACAUGUAGCAGCUCCUCCAGACCUUGUGCCAGUCUCCCUGAAACUUGAAAAUGUGGUACAUGCAGGUGUACUUUCUAAUGGCAGCACAUUUCAGCAAGGUGCAGUGUUUGGUGUUAGUGCAGCUCUGAGGGAACUGUAGCUGCUCUGUGUCAUCCUCCACUGAUGCCAUCUUUGCCUUUGCUUCUGUCUCCAUUCAAUCUGUUUUGAUUAGGUUCAUCACAGCCACCACAACACUGCUGCUGUGGAGCUCCCCAGAAUGUCUGGCCCUGCCCGUACCUGGCACAUUGAGCAGAGGUUUUAGGGCUGCUGAAUGCCACGUGAGGAGAACUAACAGAGCUGCUGGGAGCAAGUCAUCAUGGGCUGAAUACAGUUUGGGGUGAAAAGGCUAGCACAGGCACUUGGCUGCCAGAACACUCAUGGGUAGAGAGGAGCCCUGAGGCAGCACUUUUGUACCAUGUCUUCACUUUGAGGUUUGGAUCUGGCCUUGAAGGCAUCUCAGAGCCCUCGGAGGCUUUGAGGGUGGUAUUGGUGCUGUGUAUGGGUGUGCUGUUGAUGCAUUAUAGAAUUCAGAAGGCAAAAGCUUGGUCAAAGAAACAGCAAUUAGUCAGGAGGUGCCUAAAACUGAAGAGAACAGAUGGAAAAAGUAACCCAGAUGUAUGAACUAAACAAAACAAGUUGUAUAUAAACAGUCUCAAACUGUUUACAAGGUCCAAAAAAAAGAGGAAUACAAAAGAUUUUUUUUCUGUUUGAGAGCAGAGGACACAUGCUGAUUCUUUGUCCCUUCCACCAGUGUGGGACAGCUUGUUGCUGGUGAUGACACAGUCUGUGCCUGUGGUGUUUUGGGAUGUGGGGCUCCCCACAUUACACAAGUGCUUCACCCAGCCAUUUCUGCAGUCUCUGCCAGAUACAUCAGGAGAAGUGUAACAACUACAGGCACCCGCUCAUUUGACUUAUUUCUCUUCUGCCCUUCUCGCUGUAUCAGAGCACCAAAUCAUCCCCUGCCCUGGAGCAAUCAGUCAUUAACGAGGACCUUGCUACAGCCAGGGGUCUUCUCAAGCCACUGCAGUCAAGACUACUUCUGGGAAAGAGAAAGCAAGUUCUAUUUUCAUCUGCUGCAAAAAGAAAAAAAUGACAAUUUUAAAAUCCUGUGGUUAUUUUUUUACCCCAUACCCAUGCAGGACAGCAUGGUAAGCUGCAGCACUGCAGAGAGAUGGCUUGUCAGAAGCUUGUCUACCACGAUGAGUAAAUAAAAAUUCAGCAAAUAUAUCCCCUUUUCCCAAGAGAGGGGGAAGUUGGCAGAGGACAUCCAGAGGAUGCAAAGGGCUAGCAAACAUUGCAAAGACUGGAGUUGCAUGGAGUUGCAGAUCUCUGGCUAGAGAGAGAAAUUGCUUCAGGCGGCCAGAGGAUGCUUCAUGAGCCCUCUGUUCGCAGAAAAGGAGCCUGCUGAAGUGUCUGUGGUGUGCAUGAGUGGAAGCAGCAAUAAAGUAACUGUGCUAGGAUCCUCAACUGAACAGAACCUGCUGCAAGGAGACAUGGUCUGGGUUAGUUGAUGACAAGCAGAAUUCCCAGCAACAAUUGCCUCCUGCCCUGGGAUAUCUAUUCUUCUACCAUUUAGCUCUAAGUGAAGCAAUUGGACUGUCAACACUCAUGGCUAGACCAUGCUCACAGGACCACAAGCCAUGUUUCUACAGCAAAGUGGAGACUGAAGGUGGGCACAACACACCGCUGCCUGUGGGAGGAGGAGGGUUGGAGAGGGGCUAGGAUUUCUUAACCUUUACUGCUAGCUUCUUGGAAGGAAGACUGCAGAACCUGCUUCUUAGCUGGCAUAAAAAGACACAUAUCCAUGGAUCUGUGGAAUGUUCAUUUCCUUCACUAGGAAAAGAACAGAAACACAAAAACAUUGGUUGGAAGAGUCCUCUGAGGCCCAAGGUCAUCCAGGCUCCUGCUUAGCACAGGACUAUCACAUUACAUCAAGUCAGCUUUGGCAUUGUCUAGCCAAGUCUUGAAAGCCUCCAAUGAUGGAGAAUGCAGAGUGUCCCUCUCUGGGACAUGUUUUCUGUCCAUUCUCUUCUCCCAAGCUCCAGACUGGGUUUGUUGCCCCUUAUUUGUCCAUCUGUUGCUUGCAGGAUGGACUGGGGCCUGUCAGUCUCCCCCUGAGGGAGGCGUGAUUUGCAGCAGGUCCUGUUGGAUCACCCCUCCACCUCCCUGUCUCUGGACUAAGCCCACCCAGCUGGCUCAGCCUCUGCUCCCAGCUCACACGCUCUGCCCCAGCUGUCUCAGCACCUCUCUAGCUGGCUCUGCUCACACUGAUGUGUCCAAAACAACACGGGACAUCACCGGUGGCCUCUGUGGAACAGAGGCUUCCCUCUCCCUGCCAGCUACGUGCCUCUUCCUGCAGUCUGCCAGGCACUUUGUCCUGCUGGUGAUGCCAGCACAUGCUGGGCUCAGACAAGGUGGGACCUGUAAUUAUAGCAACAUGAGAAGCAGCAGAGGUCUCAUUCACUGCACUGGAGAUAGUACAGCAGGAAAGAGCAUUGCUUUAAUUCCUGUUGGCUCAGUCGCAUUAGCUCAACAUGAGGAAAACCCCCCCUUCACCUCUAGAAAUGCAAAAGUGAAUGUGGAUCUACACUGGAAUCUUCUGCACUUGUAGUCUCUGAAAAAAUGAGCUCUAACAAGUGAUGGUGCAGUGACUGAAGAGGACCCACCCUGCUGCUUUUACUACUCUGCUGGCAAAGACUAGGUCCCUGCAGUAGAGCUGGCAGAAGACAACAUAUGUCCAGGGCAGAGCUGCUCCAAAUGGCAUUGGAGUUGAAAUCUCCAAGGAGGUGGGAUUAGACUAAACAGAAGACUGUGAACUAGACGUACUGAGAUGUUGUCCACAAUGGUUUAUCCCCACCUAGAACAGCUCUGCUUCUGUGCCUCAAGUCCUAACAAAUCCUGCCCCAUGUUUCUGUCCCCUCCUUUACACCAGAACUGGCAGUCAUCUGAUGCGAAUACAAAAUUAUAUAGAGACUUCAAGCCAGCCAAAAUUUCUUCUCAUUCACCAAGCAGGUGUAGAGGGGACUGAAACACCACCAACUUCUAACAGAUUAAUCAUGAUACCUGUCUCUCAGGUAGUGGUAAAAGUGUCCUGGGGUCUCAGUGCCACUCUACCCUGUGGUCUCAGAGUGGUGUCAAGCAACAGCAGGCUGGGAGCCAGGAGGGCUGGCGCUCGGGACACCUCCUCCCGGUGUGCUGCCAAGGACGGUGGCAGUGUCCGGUGUCCUCCCGCCCAGGGCGGCGGCCCCGGGCACACGGCAUCCGUCCCUGCUGCUCGCCCGAGCCCCUCGGGACCUGCUUCUGCCGGGAGAGGCAAGGUAACCUCGCCACUGAAAAUAGCUGGGACGGCGGCCAGCCGAGAUUAAUGGCUUCAUUAACGUCCCCAGUUUAUUUAUAGGCUUAAAAAUGCCUUGGACCUGCAAACUGAGCAUAGUUGCUCCGUGUAAGGCAGGGAAGCACAGGUCUCCUGCUUCUGCCUUUCCCUUUCCUGCUAUUUCAUUCUGAUUGCUGGGUCUGUAAAACCUCUGAAGCAAGCACUGUUUCUCAUUGUGAAGCUACUUUGUAAACCUUCCUAACUGAAAGGACACACACAGAUACUCUUUUUCUAUUUUUUUUUUCAAGAAUGCUGUAUUUGUCUGGUUUCCUUCCUCUACCGACUUUUUCUGUGCACACUGUGUCCUGUGGCCCUCUUAGAGAAAAUUCUCUUUUUGAUGAAUUCCUGAGGCAAAGGCUGAGCAGCCAUCACAGGAAUUAGUGACUUCCCACCUUGGGUUUUAAACUGUGAGCUCUGUGGGAGGAAGACUGAGAUUUUCAUACCUGUGGAGAGCAUGGAGGGCACUUAGGACAUGUAGGGCCCUGGUGAGAAAUGCAGUUGCAAUUAAUGAUUGUGGAGGUCUUCCAACAAAAGCCAGCACGCCCAGUGUCCAGUCCUCCAGGAGCCUUGUGGAACUGGUGAGAAAAGGAAAAAACACCCCAAGUGUGUUUGCCCCAGAAGAAGAGUUUUUGGCUCAUGACCUGUGGCCAUAGUGCUUGGCCUGUUUCCCAGCACAUGCUGAAAGGUAAGUGAGAAAGGAAACUUGUCAGCAAGCACAAAUCCAAGGGAUAGGCUGUGUGACUGGGAGAUAGAUGGCUCCAUGAGUAGGAGAAAAAAGCAAAAAUGCCAAUCCUCAUACCCAAAAGCAUGGAUCACCAGUGUGGCAGCUCAUGCAAGUGAGGUUAUUUCAGAGAGCAACCACGCUUCACUUCACUGUUGCUUUUUUGUUGUAUCAAUCUGAAAUAAACCCCUGUGUCAGUCUCCCCUUGGCCCUCAUCUUCUAGGGAUGAAAUAAAGAGCCAGCAGAGAACCACUCAAACAUCCUUUGUCUUAAUUUUCCCUGAAAUUUUCCCUGAAAAUUUUCCCUGAAAAUUCCUGAAGUGAGAAUACUUCAGAGCAAAGUGAAGGAGCCCAAAAUGGUAGAAGGAGGGUUUCUUUGCCACUACAGGUGAAGCCACAACCCUGGGAUGCCCUCACCCUGCCAGCAACUGGUGGUUUUGUGGCAUCUUCGAGCCUUGCUUUCCCCUUCCUCUCUUUCCCGCUUGGAUUCUUGGCUCCAGAUCUCCUCCAUCCUAUCUUGGCCAGGCCCAAGCUCUCCUGGGAUGGGGCUGUGAUGAGGAUGGGAAUGCUUGCUCAAAUCUCACUUUCCACAUCUGUUAAAUGGGACCAUGAACUUUAUAUGGAAGUGUUCCAGGCAAGGUUGGAUGGAGCUUCAAGCAAUCUGGUCUAGUGGAAAGUGUCCCUGCUUAUGGCAGGAGAGUUGGAACUGGAUGGUCUUUAAAUCUCCUCCCAUCCCAAACCAUUCUGUGAUUUUCUGCACUCCAUUGAAGGGCAAAAGCAGACAUGCAAUUCUUCAGCCAUCCAAAGAUCAUAACUGGGAGACUAUUUCUAUGCCUGAUAUACAUGAGAUCCUGUGUAAUUUUAAAGGCUUCAAGGAAAAGACAAGUCAUAUGCAGCACCUGAGGCAAAGGCAGGAAGAGGGAAAAGAGUUGUGUUUAACUAUAUUCUAUUUAUUCUAGGAAAGAGACACAUUUUAUAUAGUUGUGUCUCACCUAAAUUCCUCAACAUCUGACCAGAAAAAUCACUGCAACUUUCUUACUAGACAGAUGUCGGACUAGGGGAGUGAGUCUUGUGACUCUGCAUCUCAAACUGAUUACCUGCUUUGAAAAGUGAAUAUAAAAAGCAGAGGGUUUUUUUUUUUUUUUUUUUUUGUUUGGUUUGGUUUGUUUUUUGGUGUUUUUUUUUUAACAAGAUGGCUAAACUUCAUCUCAGCUCUGGGACACCUAUCCCUGAAUACUGGUGCUGCCCAGCUUCUGUGGCAUUACUCACCCCUGAUACAGAAAGCAAGAGCUGGAUUUUUUUUUUUCCUGUUUCACUGGGCUACACCCAGUUGUAACCAUAUUUAACCUUCCCUUUCUAGCUGCCAACACUGGGUGGCACUAACUAACUCCUUCUGACAUUUUACAAAAUUGACUCCAAAACCUUGAAUCACACUGAUUUGGCUCCACUCUGUCUUGACAGCAAAUGGUUUUGUUUGAGAGACUUUGGAUCAUAUGGUUAUUGCAUAGAAACAUCUGACUUGCAUGGCAUGUUUUGUACUUCCCUGGUUUGUUAGGUUGUUAAAACUCUCAUGAAACUCUGGCCUUACAGCCUGGUAAAGGUUCAGUGUGCUGUUGGACUUGAAAGCCAAAUUUCCUGUACUGAGUUGAGAAUUUAUGGAAUACUUGAAUAUAUAUACCUGAAUAUCCAAUCUGUGAUUUAUGUCAGAGGUUUAAAUAAGUCUCACUGAAAGGCUGAGGUUGAAAGGCACCUCUGGAGAUCACCUAGGCCAAGUCCUCUACUUGAGCAAGGUCAGCCAAAGCAGGGUUAACCAGGUGGUCCCCAAAGGGUUCCAGGUGCCUGCUGCCAGCCCCAGAGUUUCCUUGUCAGUCUCUAACCAGAGCUUGGACACUGCCAUGUCUGCUGGCCACCACUGCCAGCUACACUCCGUAAAAGUCCUACUAAAAUAAAUCAGCUUUAAAAGAAGCACCCCCAGAAACAUGUGGCUGCCCAAUCGGCUGUGCUCACCCUACAAGUGCCCCAGCCACCCUUUAACCAGGCUGUUAUGGCUCCAGUGGGUUCUGGGAGAUGCUGGUGCGAAUGGUGAUGGAGGUGGCAAAAAUUCAGGGCCAAGUGGUUUGUCCUCAGAGGACACCCCAGGUCUAUGAGCAGCCUGAUCUAGCGGCUGGCAUCUGUGCCCAUGAUGGGGGUUGGAACCAAAUGAUCUUUAAGAUCCCUUCCAACUCAAGCCAUUCUAUGAUGCUGUGACGUGUGGCCAUUCUACACCACCUGUGGAGCCCCAUUGCCAUGUCCUGGUAACAAACAUUCCCAUUGUUGUGCGUGUACCUGUCCCUAAGAAGGUGUUUACAUUCUAACAGAUAGCAGAUGGCAUAACCUGAUGGGCUCAUUAAGAUGUGUGUCCUGAAAGGAGGACAUAGAAACACCAAUGAUAGUAGCUAAAAAAUCCUCAAUACAGAAAUUAAGUGAGCAAGUCUUGACAGACUUGCCAUGGCCAUUCUGACAGCAGUGGGAGAGGUGCAGCUGAGGAAGAAGCUGCCCAGAGUGAGAGAUGGUAACUGCUGAAGGUCCUUAAUGUCUCCAAGCAGAAGAGCAGGCAGAGGCUGAUCUCAAAAGGAAACCUCAGCUGGAGCGAGGAUUUACCCGACAUGCUGUGUCUUCAGAGCGUGGCCAAACCACAGGACAGCCUGCAACGGGGCUCUCCUAAUCCUCUUGCUCAGGGUAGAAUUAUUUAUACUGUUUAUUGGACCAGAUGGAGCAGGAAUACCAGCAGGACUAAACUGCCUGCCCCAAAGAACAGGCCUGGGAUCUGGUAGGUAGUGGACAAGAGCAGUUGUUUCAGAGCAGCCAACAAAGAAGAGGCUGAAUUUGACAGAAUAGCAUGGCACUUGACUCCAGCUUAGCUUGGCCCUGUGUGUUGUGCCUAUGGGCCUAAGAGCAAACAAGUAUUUUUGUAAGUUUGGUGGUUUUUUUAUCCCAGCAUAAAAUGCCCAGGAAGAUGAUGCUAUAGCUCACCAGUGCUGAAUUCCAUAGGAUGUGUAGCAUGGCCUGGACUGAGGCAUGAGAGCAUCCAGGAGAGCUGGAGGAUGGAAAGUCUGGUGGGACCAUGCUGUAGGAACAUCCUGAGGGAAAUGAGACAGAGCUUGUUCAUGUGGCUCUUGCAAAUUGUCCCAGGAGUAUCCAUGCUCAGAGCAGCACUGCUUGGUGGCCAGAGGUCAGAGGUCUCUGGCUUGGUGGCCAGAGCUUGUUCAGAGGACAGCAUAGGUGUGUGCUGACCAACACCACGGGAACAAUCAAGGAUGAGGACCCAUAGUCAACUGGGGAGUUGUUUCUGACAUUGUAGGCACAUGUGACAGGCAUAGCUACAUCACCAGCAAAGAAGAGUUGGACUCCAGCCCUGGAUUUGUGCUCAUUGUCUGCUGGGCUCUCUGCUAACUCUGAAGCUUUGGUUUGGAUCACUCCAAGUUUGGAUCACUUUUAUCACACAAGAUAAAUGUUCUCCUUGGGAAAUAAGCUCUAGGUACAGUGCCUGUGAGCCCGGGGGUGCCACUCUCUUUGCCCUGGUCUUUUGCUGAGCAGUGUAGACACAGCCAGUCUCCUGCCUCUCUGUGCUCCAUCUCCAUGUGCCUCUGGUGCUGCCUGGCACACUGGGUGUGAUAUUGCUUCCAGGAAAGCUUUUUUGAAAUAUUUUCCAUAUGAGAAACAGAAGGGAUUUGAACUUGCAUCCUGAGUGCUCUGAAGCUGUGUUGUAGGCAGUGGAUUGCAGUGGGUGAUAGCUUCUCUUCAUAGGCCUUGUGGCUGAGGACAAAGUUUUCUGGGAAUCUCCCUUUCCAUUCCUAUGAGGGUUUUGGGGUUAACCUGUAUCAUGCUGUUUUAGCUUUUAGUUUGAAUGCCAGACAGAAAAUCAACUAUUAGAAGAUCUGCCUAGUCAAAUAGACAAAGGCCCCAAGAGGCAGAAGCUCGUUGGAAAGAGGUCUUGGCUUUGCAGAGAUCAUGAGGAUUUGGGCAGAAUUCAGGCAGAGGAUAAACCCCACUAUCCAAGAGGAUAACCUGAGGAAAGGGAGUUGCACAGGAUUUUUCCACUGCUGUAGGAACCUUUACUGCAAUUCAGCUCGUGUUGAUUAACUCUGGAUGCUGGAUUCUUAAAAAGUGAUUAGUGAGAUCACCCUGGAAAUAGAAACAGAUGUGCCAUCUGUUACGCAGCGUAUGGGAGGGAGAUUUUGCUGAAGCACUGAAAGAAAGGAGGAGAUCCCAACACUGAAAUGAGACUUCACUCCUGUCACUUUCUGGUUUACCUCCCCAGAAGCUAAACACCCCUGUGAACAUAUGAGGUGAACUGGUGGGAUUCGCUGCUAGUGGACUGGAGCUGUAGCUCUGGCUACUGACUGGGCUGAGAGAUGAGCUAUGGUCGCAUCUCAGCCUUCAGGGGAAGACAUGGUAUAGGGCUUGGUGUCAGAGACACUCUCCAAGCACCUGGAAUCCCAAAGCAGGAAGUCUGGGCUUCAGUCUGAGCUUGUGCUGGUGCUGCCUCAGAGCAUCUUUCCCCUCAGUGAAAUGUAAACUAGAGGUGGGAUUUUUUCAGCCCUUCUGUGGAGUUGUCCCUGUGCUGUAUCCCUGCCUCAAAGUGCUCUCCCUUCAUCCAGUAGUGACUCACUGCAGGUCCCGAGGAUUAUCAGAAGCACUAAGCAGCUCUGAGACAGCAAUUGGAAUUAUGCUUCUACAGCUGUGAUUGUCCACAGCCAUGCUCUCUGUCUUCCUCCAGAGCAGCGGAGGAUUUUAAGGAAUGGUGCAAGGCUGAAGAAGGCAAUACAUCCAUAUGUGCUUUCCUAAAUCUAAUCUGGCAUCCUUCUGGCUGCCAUAACCUCUGGAGAGCAAAGCACACAUUUGUGCUGUUCAUAGCACUGCUGCCUGAUAUCCAGUAUCUGCUCUAAUAGGGGAAACAUUGCAGCACCUGGGGAAAACGGGAGCGGGUUCCCUUUGAUCUGCAGGGCACCUCUCUGAGCACAGCUGCACAGCCAGGAGCAGAGAAGGGCCACUGCUUUAUGACCAUGCAAUAAAACAGGUUGCUGCUCCCCAUGUGCUUUGAAGCCCAGGACAUGAUCCAGUGAAGCAGUGGCAGCAAUCCUCUGCCUCCCAUCCCAAUGGAGCUGCCCCCCAGCAAGCCCAGCUGUCCUCAAGGAUGCCACAGCUCUUCCAGGCUCUCGCUUGUUCACGCAGCGCUGAUCCAAAAAAGGUGUUGGCAGAAGAUGUUACAGACCUUUCAAAAUCCCUCUUCAUACUCCAGCACUUCCUCUUCUCCAUCCUCAGACAAGAAUCACACAGGUCUGGACCUCAUUCCCCAGCCCUGGAGCCCCAGCAAACAGAAGCUGGUGCCCAGCAGCAAGUCCUCCCAAUUACUCCUUUGGAAAACAUUUUCACCAAAGAGUUGAUUAACACUACAAAGUGCCCUCUCUGAGCACUGUGUACCACGCACAGGGAUCACACACCCACUGCCCAGGGAGAAGAUGGGGUCCAUACUCCUCCUGGAAGCCCUAAUUGUUGAGGGGAGAAGGGAUGUUAUCAGGAAGGGCAAUGGUUAUCCUCAGAAAAAAAGUCACAUAAUAUAAAUUUUUGUCCCUCUAAAUUUCUCAUAUGAAAGCCAUUAAAAAAAAAAAAAAAAACAAAAAACCAAAACAUUGUUACUCUCUAUUUCCAUGGGGCUUUCAUCAGAAAAAUGAAAAGCAUGUUUAAAAAAUAGGAAGAAGGAUGUGGGGAACCUUACCACAGGGGUCUGAAAUCUCUGAGCGCACCUGCCUGGCUGUGCUGGGCCCUGUGCCCUGGAGCUCAGCCAUGCUCAGGGGACAAGGCAGUGCACCCACAGGGGGGUCUUCUCCAGUCAGCAUUCACACAGCUGGAGCCAGGACACAGGAGGAAGUGCUGGUGGUCCUGAAUGCUUUGUUUGAGCAGCUGAAAGGAGAGAUGUUUUCUCCCCCGGUUUAUUGGAAAAGCAGAGUAGUGUGGCUACCAACACAGUGACGAUCCCCACUCAGUGAUGAGGGUCUGCACUCAAGGGUGUGCUGGAGCUCUGACAUGGCAGCCCAGCCUCCUCUGGGACAGAAACCACUCAGUGCUGGACUUACAAACACCUACAACAAUCCUCACACUGCCCCUUGGGCCUGCCCGCCCUAAUAACUCAGUAAUAACUCCCCCCUCCACACACCCAAGCAUAACCACACAUUUUUCCCAAGUGUUUAGCAAAUGUAACCUCUGUGUUUUAUACCUUUCACUCAUUGAUCAAGCUGAUGUGUUUCUCUUUUGGACAAAGAGUCAUUACAUCUGAAAGUUUAUGGCUUGGCUUUGAAGUUAAUGUUCUCUGAGAUGAAGGAGAAAGUUCACACUUCUUCUAUUGCUUCCAGCCCUUCUGGCUGCAGACCAGAUAAGAGAGUGAUGCCUUCAAUUUACAAGUGAUGACUAUUUUUUCAGGCAGAAAAGCUGAAAGACUUAUUAAUGUAAUAAUGGCUUGAAUAUGCUAUAGUGCUCAGCAAAAUGCUAGAAAAGGAGGGAAGUGAGUCCAUGAAAUCUAUGGACACCUCAGACUGUCUAUUUCUCUAUUUAUGGUCUCAUUUUCAUCUGAGGCUGUUUACCUUCCUCCACUUCUUUGCUGUUGCAGCCACUCUUGACUCUGUUUGUCCACAAGCUGUCAUUUUCUGCCAGCAACUUUCCUCUGUGGAAGAACAGCCUUCACAGCCAAAAAGUUUUCUCCUGCUUAACAGUAAGAGGUCUCUCCCUCUAAUUCUUCUUGAAUAGGUAGAGAAAAUGCAGUUUUAUGGGACACUCCAUUAACAGCCAAGGCUGAGUGUUUAAGUUGGAGGGUGUUAAGACAUCCAGUUCCUUCACACUUACUUGGAAAUUGCAGCCUUGGUGUGACCCUUUCAAGCCUCCUACUUCUCCUCCUUCCUAAUGCAGCAUCAGCUCCUCCAGCCUUCACUGGGAGAAAGAUUUUAGAAACUUUUAGGAGUAACUGGCACAGAAUGCUUGGAGCCUGACUGUCACUACCUGAAAGCUCCAGGGAGAGUAAGCAAGGCUGAAGGGACUUUGGAGAGGGAUUUGAUUUUCCAGAGAUCCAUCAAGCCAGUUUUGGGAAGUCUCUAAAGAUGGCAGAGCCACCACCUGAGUAGAGGUGCUGUGCUUGCCCACAUCCUGCUCCCCUGCUCACCAUAUCCCUCUAGGCCUCUUCACUCAGAAGUGGCUUUUCCAUUUGACCCCACCAGUCAUAGGUCUGGACAAAAAAAGAGAUGCCAGGAAGACCUAUGUGUACCUCUCAGCUGGGGCUAUCUGAGCUGUGAAAUGUAGCUCUGACAAGAACUCCUGCAGAGUGUGCACAGUAUUUCCAGGAUUUUGAUACUGCUAAUGAGUAGACGCUUGUAUAAAUAAAAUACCUUCUGAUAUGUGAUUUACAAAACAUCAAGAUUUUCAGUAAUUUAGGAUUGAAUUACACCCUGUUGUAGCACAUAAGGGGAAGGAUUAGGGCACUGCAGCUCACAGCUGGGCAGCUAAACCCACUUUUCCUGUUCAAUCGUCUGCCUUUGAUCUGUUUCUCUUUAAUAUUCAGCUGAAAUUCAGCUGAUAUUCAGCUGAAAGACUUCAGCCAUGCUCGAAUCAGUAAGGUACCACUGGAUGAAUGCUUGUGCUCUUUGUAAAGUGAAAUUUGGCACCUGACUGGAGGAACCACAAGCCCCCAGCAAAUCCUGGAUCCCUCCCCAUUAUUGGGUCAGGUGCUGCUGAGAAUUGGCAGCCAAGCAGCGCAGGGCUCUCAAGCCUCCCUGGCACAACCACAAGGACCGGUCAGAAAAUCCCUCCCAGGAGGUGAUGAAAAACCCCAGGGUGCCACCAGCAUCCCCCACACCAGCCAACAGAAACCCUCCAUCACUACAGACCUGCAGCAUCCUUUGCCAAAUGUUAUAGUUCCCUUUUGUUAACAUCUGUGCUGUUCAAUUAUUUGCCUCUGUCAGCAUGACCAAGUGAUGGGAUGGGCUCUGCAGGAUUUCUGUUGAUCCUCCUCCAUAUCUGGCUCACUGACCACUCAAGAAACUUCCCUUUCCUUUAUUUUACUCAAUUUCUUCCUUUGAUGUAAUGCUAAAUAAAAUCUACCUAUUGUUAACCACACCUCACAACAGCAGUGGUUAUGUUUGCUGCUGGUUUAGUUUCCAAGUAAUUUAAAUAGACAACUGAGCCAUGAGGAGAAAUUACAAAACAUCCUUUCCCCCUGGACAUCAUGGCAUGGCAGGCCAUUAAUAUUUCUUUAGCACAGCAAACUUUGAGGCUUGAAAUACAUACCUUGGUUUGUCAAAUGGGAUAAUUAUUAACAUUUUCAACUAUGCAGCUAAUGAGUUCCUGUGUUACAGUGAAUGUGUAGAGUGGUGUUGUACAGUGUUUCUCACACCAAUUUCUUGGGAAAUCUGGGCCUGUAAUUUGGUGCAGUCCUCACAGCAGGAAUGCGUUUCAUCUUCUAAGGUGACGUCAGCCACUCUUGUCCUGGCAUUAAAAGUCAGCCAAUGUACCUUCCAGCUUUCCCAGGCAAUCAGCAGCCAGAAAAUCAGUGUUGGGUUUGGGAACACCAGCGUCAGGAAGUGUGAAGGUGGUUGUCCUGCCUCUGGUGUCAGGGCUACCCUCUGGGAACCAGCCCCAGUGCAACACCCCCUCUGUUUCAGUGAAUGCCCAAUCUUUCCUUCAGCAGCACCUACAAGUGCUUGGCAGUGCCACACUGGGGACACGAUGGAUAGAUCUCCCCCCAGGAGAACUCGGGGGUUGGAAGUCACUUUAGGGUCUUAGAUGAUUUUCUCUCCUUCCCCUGGGGAAGGCAGGGCCAGUGGGAAGCGGCUGGGUACCAGCAGCACUGGAGCAUCCCCGCAGCUACCAGGGGCACCAGGACAUCCCCUGCUCUGUUUUUAUGGUGCUGCCUGCUCACUUCCAUUUUCAGAGGGUGGCAUAGCUGAAAGUGAAGCUGUGCACCCCUCGGGGGAGACAUUCUGGAGAACACCAGCCGGUUCCCCAACUCCACCGCAGAGCAAUAUUGUUUCACCACAAAAAAAUCUCAGUGGCCAACACACAGCAGGUCUGGAGCAGCCCCUGAGAAGCGCUGGGCUCUGCAUCCCAUUAGGGCUGCCCGGAGGAAGCUAGACAGGAUUUUUAUUAAAUCAAGCUCAGUCAAUGCUUAAAGAAGGGUUUUUUUGAAUUACAAGCUGAACCUCAUGUUUGGUGCCCUGCCAAGCUCAGGAUAGUGCGAGGAAGAAAAGGAGAUGUAUUUUUGGACUCCAUGUCUGCUAACAGGCUGUUAGAUAAAAUUAAAGAGGCUGUUUAUAAAGAAUCCACUAGUGCUGAAGCAGAUGUGGAGGCCCGAGUUUAUGACAAGAUAUAUUUCUGGUGUUGGCACGAACAAUCAAUUUCAUUCAGGACUUUCCUCAUGCCGUAAUGAUUUGUUGCUUUGGGGUUGAUUUCUUUUUUAUUUAUUUCAUUAUUUUAACUGAAACUGGCACAAUGCCCUCAUUACUUGUGAUAAACUUGUUUGUUUACUUAUGUCGUGGUAACCAGAGAGCUGGACUCGGGCUCUGCUUCCUUGGAUGCUGGUUGUUUCCUACCAGAGCACUUGGAGCUGUCUGACACUGGCACUGUGUUUUAAAAAUACACUGCUUUCCUCAGCCUUGCAGGCAGCAAGGGCAUUGCUGUGCUUUUACAAGAAAAAUCAAGAGCACAAGUGAAGGCACAUUGUCAUUAAUUAUGUACGGUUUGGGUUUUUCCUGCCUUGCUGCUCCUCCUUGGACCCUACACGGAGUCCUGACUUCCUUAUGGCACAGAUAAAAACUUGAAAGAGAGAAACCCAACACGAUUGCUGUGAUCUAAAUCUACAGCAGGGUAUUGCAUAUGGAAGGCAUAAUAUUUGAUGGUAAAUUUUUGUUUGACAUUAUAGUAGAAGUUACAGGAAAAGGUGUCAUCCUUGGCCUAGGGUUUCAGAAGUGCCACAGGCAGAUGGGCUCUUUUAAACCUUCUCUUCCAAAAGGAGAAACUCACAAUCUGGACUCAAGCAAACCUUAAAGUCAUAAAAUUCCAGGUUCCAAUAAAUCUUUGUUUUAUAAAAACACAUUGAGCAUAUAUCAAAACAGAAACUGUAAAAGAAAUUAAACAUGUGUGUGUCACAUACUCUGCUGGAUGCUCCUUAAUAGUUCUACAGGAUCAGUGGAAUAACGAGGUGCAGUUUUGCUCUGUGAAAUUUUGGCACCUCCCUGCAGCGCUGUUGGGCUGCCCAGGGCGCCCACCCGGAACACGAGCAAACACAGGGGAAGGGAUGGCAGCUCCACUCUCAGUCCUCUCCCUUCUUUCCCAGUGCAGACAAGCUGGCCUGUAGCUGUAUCCCCACAGGCCCUGGGCAUCACAUCUUCCCUUUGGGGCCCAGCAAAGUGAGGACUUGCUCCUCCAGCCCCACUGAGUGGCAAGGCCAUGGCAAACAACAGUGCUGUAAGUCAAAGGGAGGGAAAAGUAAAGUGAUAUGUAGGAGGAGGAUUUGCCUGCCUGUUCCCAUAAAGUGAAAGAGCAAAGCAAAAUGAAAGGAACUGGGAUCACACUGCAGAGACAGAGAUUUUAACAAGCUUCUUUUCAGGGCUUUAAAAGAUUAUGCAUGUGACGUAAUCUUGACAUUUCCUGGCUGGCUGGUGAUUUCCUCGGAUCAAAUGCCCGGAAUGCUGGGGACUUGUCACCACCUCGUGCAGCUCCGAUUACUUGCAGCACCCCAGGGGACACCAAAGGAUUUAGGCACAGGGUUCUGGGGCAGGGGGCAGGACCCUGCGCCCCUCUCCCUGUGCUCCCUCUCACCCUGGCUGGGUGAGACCGGGAGCACAUACCUUCCCUUUUAGAAAUUCCCCUUAACUUUGAGGGUUGAGGUUUAAGGCUCCUGGCCACGGGUCCUGCACCCAGAAGCCUUGGGAGAGAAUAAAGCCUGUGAGAACCCUGGCAGGGACAGACCCUCAGACAUUGAAACAAUAUAUAAUCUAUUUCUUUCAUUCUGUUGUAGAAUGACAAUUUUAUAAAAUUCCAAGUGACUUGCUGGAGUAGUCAAAAUCAAGACCAAAAGCCAGCAAAGCCUUAUAAAUUUUGGGAAUCUUCUUAUCAUGAAGAUUCAUCAAAUUUCUGCUAGUAGUCUGCUGAAACUUGAAAGUUAUGGGGAAAGAGAAAAAAAAGCAGCAAAACACUUAUUAGCAUUUUGUCAAGCAUUGGGACAGGCUUCCCAGCGAAGUGGUAGAGCUGCCAAACUUGGAGGUUGCAACUGGAGUGGGGACCAAGCAGCACACAGUGGCAAACCCCCAUCCUGACUUGAGAUCCUCAAACAUCUGCUGUAGUGGGUAGAAGGAAAAAAAAACACAAACUCUUCCCAGAAUAUUUUUUUCUGGAUUUCCAAAGAGUGUCUAAAUUUGGGUUGCACAGGAGCUCUCUAUUAUUAAUUACCCUAAAAUAGGUACCAAAGAAGCAAGCAACUGUCUGGGAAGCACUCACACCAUGACCAAAGACUCCAGGCAGCUCUUCCCACCUCCUCUUCCCCACCAGGGAACCACUGGCAAACCAAGUCAGCUGGAGGCUGCAGGUGCCAAGGGAUCACGGUGGUGGGAGCUGCAGGGGUCACCCUUCUGCUCCUGACCUGGUAGGCUCAGGCUGGCAGUGCCUUUUGCUGUGUGUAAACAGGGAAGCUGCAGCUGAGAGGUUAAUGCAAUUCCCCUCUAAAAAGUAUUUAGAAAGGGCAUUUAAAAGAGUAUCACUAGCUAGUUUAAUGCAACACCAGCACAGCUUUUGUAGUAUUUAAAAA